GGAUGUGAGGGCGAUCUGGCUGAGACACCUGUCACCCCAUUGAUCGCCAGGGUUGAUUUGGCUGAUUUGGCUGGCUAGGUGGGUGUCCCCUUCCUCCCUCAAUGCUCCACUUGCGUCCCUCCCGAAGCUGCAUGCUUGGUUGAAGAGGACGACCUUCCCCGAUAGAGGAGGGCCGGUCUUCAGUCAAGGGUAUACAACUAGCUGCACUUCCCUGCUAGAACCUCCAAACAAGCUCUCAAGGUCCAUUUGUAGAAGAACGUGGGGUAGUCAAGCUUCCAAGACUCCAGACACAUCCAAAUGAGGCACUGCAAGUGGCAGUCUGCCUUUCUUU
rnacentral:snRNA from 1 species